GUGCUCACCUCAGCAGCACAAACACUAAAGUUGAAAUGAUACACAGAAGAUUAGCAUGGCCCUACACAAGCAUGACAUGCAAAUUCAUGAACUGUUCCAUAUUUUA